UACGUAGGGUGCGAGCGUUGUCCGGAAUUACUGGGCGUAAAGAGCUCGUAGGUGGUUUGUCGCGUUGUUCGUGAAAACCGGGGGCUUAACCCUCGGCGUGCGGGCGAUACGGGCAGACUUGAGUACUGCAGGGGAGACUGGAAUUCCUGGUGUAGCGGUGAAAUGCGCAGAUAUCGGGAGGAACACCGGUGGCGAAGGCGGUUCUCUGGGCCUGUACUGACGCUGAGGAGCGAAAGCGUGGGGAGCGAACAGG
rnacentral:rRNA from 1 species